CCAAUAGCGUAUAUUAAAGUUGUUGCAGUUAAAAAGCUCGUAGUUGAAUUUCGGGGUCAGUAGAUUGGUCAUGCCUCCGGUAUGUACUGGUCUUACUGGCUCCUCCUUCCUGAUGAACCGUAAUGCCACUAAUUUGGUGUUGCGGGGAGACUGGACUGUUACUUUGAAAAAAUUAGAGUGUUUAAAGCAGGCUAACGCUUGAAUACAUUAGCAUGGAAUAAUGAAAUAGGACGUUCGAUCUUAUUUUGUUGGUUUCUAAGAUUGACGUAAUGAUUAAUAGGGAUAGUUGGGGGCAUUAGUAUUCAAUUGUCAGAGGUGAAAUUCUUGGAUUUAUUGAAGACUAACUACUGCGAAAGCAUUUGCCAAGGAUGUUUUCAUUAAUCAAGAACGAAAGUUGGGGGAUCGAAGACGAUCAGAUACCGUCGUAGUCUUAACCAUAAACUAUGCCGACUAGGGAUCGGAUGAUGUUAAUUUUUUAAUGACUCAUUCGGCGCCUUACG
rnacentral:rRNA from 1 species